UACGGGGGGGGCAAGCGUUGUUCGGAAUUACUGGGCGUAAAGGGCUCGUAGGCGGCCAACUAAGUCGGAUGUGAAAUCCCCAGGCUUAACCUGGGAAUUGCAUCCGAUACUGGAUGGCUUGAAUCCGGGAGAGGGAUGCGGAAUUCCAGGUGUAGCGGUGAAAUGCGUAGAUAUCUGGAGGAACACCGGUGGCGAAGGCGGCAUCCUGGACCGGCAUUGACGCUGAGGAGCGAAAGCCAGGGGAGCAAAACGGGGAUUAGAUACCCC
rnacentral:rRNA from 1 species